AGAGUUUGAUCCUGGCUCAGAACGAACGCUGGUGGCGUGUCUUACACAUGCAAGUCGAGCGGUCCGCAAGGAUAGCGGCGAACGGGUGAGUAACGCGUAAGCAAUCUGCCCCGCAUAUUGGGAUAGCCGUGCCAACGCGCGGAUAAUACCGAAUAACGUGGCCCCGGACAUCCGGGGUUGACGAAAGAUUCAUCGAUGCGGGAUGAGCUUGCGUCCGAUUAGCUAGUUGGCGGGCAACGGCCCACCAAGGCGACGAUCGGUAGCCGGCCUGAGAGGGUGAUCGGCCACAUUGGGACUGAGAUACGGCCCAGACUCCUACGGGAGGCAGCAGUAGGGAAUAUUGCACAAUGGGGGAAACCCUGAUGCAGCAACGCCAACCGUGUGGGAAGAAGCAUUUCGGUGUGUAAACCACUGUCGUGAGGGAAUAAUACGCGUCUUCGGGCGCGGGAGAAUGUACCUCGAAAGGAAGCACCGGCAAACUUCGUGCCAGCCGCAGC
rnacentral:rRNA from 1 species